rnacentral:lncRNA from 1 species
UCUCUUUUCUUUUUAUUACUAUUGUUUUAUCAUUCUUUUCUUUUUCUUUUUCAUUUUCAUUAUUUUAUUUUUCUUUCUAUUUUCUUUCCUGAUAAUUUAUUCUCUUAUUUCUUUUUAUCUUCUCUCACAUUAUUAGGAUUUAAUGGCACAAGAUUAACUUUUGACCAUGAUGCAUAAAAAAAUAUUUACUGGAAUAACCAUCAUGAUUGACUUUUCUAUCUAAUUGUCAC